rnacentral:misc_RNA from 1 species
GAAAUGCGAUAAGUAAUGUGAAUUGCAGAAUUCAGUGAAUCAUCGAAUCUUUGAACGCACCUUGCGCUCCUUGGUAUUCCGAGGAGCAUGCCUGUUUGAGUGUCAUUAAAUCAUCAAGCCCAUUCAUUCAUUAGUUUGUUUGGGAUUGGAUUUGGGAGUGCUGUUGGCCUUUGGUCAACUCUCCUUAAAAGCAUUAGCCAGAAGGCUCUUGUGGCUUGUCCGCUGGUGUGAUAAUUAUCUAUGCCUUGGACAUGCUGCGCUCUGAACGAGCCUUCAGCUUCUAACCGUCUAUUAAGACAAUCAUUGACAAUUUGACCUCAAAUCAGGUAGGACUACCCGCUGAACUUAA